rnacentral:sRNA from 1 species
AGUUGGAGAAAGUGGUAUUUACCUAAGUCAUUAUAACCAGUCACAGACUUUUUGUUCAAACUCCACUCCCACUGCUUCACCAGAUUAGCCCUUA